CCUACGGGUGGCAGCAGUGGGGAAUAUUGGGCAAUGGGCGCAAGCCUGACCCAGCAACGCCGCGUGAAGGAAGAAGGCUUUCGGGUUGUAAACUUCUUUUGUCAGGGACGAAGCAAGUGACGGUACCUGACGAAUAAGCCACGGCUAACUACGUGCCAGCAGCCGCGGUAAUACGUAGGUGGCAAGCGUUAUCCGGAUUUAUUGGGUGUAAAGGGCGUGUAGGCGGGAAUGCAAGUCAGAUGUGAAAUCUAUGGGCUCAACCCAUAGCCUGCCUUUGAAACUGUAUUUCUUGAGUGCCGGAGAGGCAGGCGGAAUGCAUAGUGUAGCGGUGAAAUGCGUAGAGAUUAGGAGGAACACCAGUGGCGAAGGCGGCCUGCUGGACGACAACUGACGGUGAGGCGCGAAAGCGUGGGGAGCAAACAGGAUUAGAUACCCCAGUAGUC
rnacentral:rRNA from 1 species